CAGGACAUAAUUGACGCCCUGAGGGAGGCUUAAAGUAAAUUUAAAAAAUUACAUGGGGUUGCUUUCUUUCUGGUCAAGAAAAUGAUGGACGUAUGGGUAUGGCUUUGGAAAUUUAUUUUUAUGUCUGUAUUUUUUUGAAUACAUAUAGAGAUUAUUUGCCGGAUCGGGAUGCAUAAUUGCAGGGCUCGUGCAAGUUAAAGCAUGCAGAUCCUAUGAUAUCGUUGUCCGGCUCUCUCUCCCGUGCUACAAAAGCAAGUAUCUCAAGAGGUCCUGUCCAUCAUAUCAAGCGUCCGCAAUGAUUUCUGACCGUCUGAUUGUUUCAUCAUCUGGGGAUAUGUGUCGACGUGGACAGGAUCUGACACGAUUCCGCCGAUCUGAUCGCUGCAGCUUAAAGGUUAAAAGCAAGGUCUCUUUUUCAUUAUUUCUUUUGCUGCUUUCUGGGUGUGUAGUAUCGUAAAACCUAUGGUCCCGUCCGUACGCUAGUCAACUGUGUUUAAUAAAUCAGGAAAAAGGGAAUCGUCUGAUAAUCGCCAAAUGUUUACGGGAAUUGAUGAUAUACGUGUUAUGUAAUAUUAUUCUUUUCAGCGGCUCACCAAACAAACCGAACUUUCAUGACCAUUUUGUCCUUGCGUGAUCUUUUUAAUGACUCUCUUGUAUUUUUUUUUUGUUAUUUUUUCCCCUCCAUUUAAAUUUUCUAAUUACAUUUAUAAAAAUUAAAAGGUCUGC
rnacentral:lncRNA from 1 species